AACCAUUUCUCAAGAAGUGAGUAAAUCAGGGUGGAAAAUGAAGCCCUUUAUAGCUCUCAUGUGUACAGCACUUUUGAUCUUUUGGUAUAAAACCACUAAUAUUCAGUUUGAACAAACUGAGAUAGAAGAAACAGAUUAUCCUUUUGACAUGGCAA